rnacentral:rRNA from 1 species
UACAGAGGGGGCAAGCGUUGUUCGGAAUUACUGGGCGUAAAGGGCGCGUAGGCGGCCUGUUAAGUCGAACGUGAAAUCCCCGGGCUCAACCCGGGAACUGCGUCCGAUACUGGCAGGCUUGAAUUCGGGAGAGGGAUGCGGAAUUCCAGGUGUAGCGGUGAAAUGCGUAGAUAUCUGGAGGAACACCGGUGGCGAAGGCGGCAUCCUGGACCGAGAUUGACGCUGAGGCGCGAAAGCGUGGGGAGCGAACAGGG